rnacentral:rRNA from 1 species
GCACCUUCCGAUACGGCUACCUUGUUACGACUUCACCCCAGUCAUGAAUCCCACCGUGGUAAUCGCCCCCCUUGCGGUUAGGCUAACUACUUCUGGUGAAACCCACUCCCAUGGUGUGACGGGCGGUGUGUACAAGACCCGGGAACGUAUUCACCGCGACAUGCUGAUCCGCGAUUACUAGCGAUUCCGACUUCAUGCAGUCGAGUUGCAGACUGCAAUCCGGACUACGAUCGGGUUUAUGAGAUUAGCUCCCCCUCGCGGGUUGGCAACCCUCUGUCCCGACCAUUGUAUGACGUGUGAAGCCCUACCCAUAAGGGCCAUGAGGACUUGACGUCAUCCCCACCUUCCUCCGGUUUGUCACCGGCAGUCUCAUUAGAGUGCCCUUUCGUAGCAACUAAUGACAAGGGUUGCGCUCGUUGCGGGACUUAACCCAACAUCUCACGACACGAGCUGACGACAGCCAUGCAGCACCUGUGUUCCGGUUCUCUUGCGAGCACUCCCAAAUCUCUUCGGGAUUCCAGACAUGUCAAGGGUAGGUAAGGUUUUUCGCGUUGCAUCGAAUUAAUCCACAUCAUCCACCGCUUGUGCGGGUCCCCGUCAAUUCCUUUGAGUUUUAAUCUUGCGACCGUACUCCCCAGGCGGUCAACUUCACGCGUUAGCUGCGCUACUAAGGCCGAAGGCCCA